CUCGGCGCCCGGGGCCGGCUGCGGGAAACGCUCGCACAGAGACAGGCGCGCACCCGGGGGCGCACCCGGGGCCACACACGACUCCCCAGGCGAUGGGGUCCAGGCGGCCCCGCCCGAAGGCUUCCGUCCCGCCAGCCCAUCCAGCCGCUGCCCCGCACCUGUCCCCGCCGCUCCGGACCCGCGGCCGCCCCCCGCGCACGCACACCGGGGACGGGACCCGGCGCCGCGACUCCCCACGCCCCGCAGGCGACGCCACCUUCGGCCGUAGCAGCCCGGGGUCCGAGGCAUCCCCCCUCGGAGCUGGCGCGGGACCCAGCGAACGGGCCCCGGGGCGGAGGGACGCUUCGGGACCCCGCAGCCGCCGUGGGUCGGGCACCGGGGUCUCCAGGAGGCUCGCGGAGGGGUCGCCACUCACCAGCUGAAAAGCGCAGAGGACGACGAGCGCGCAGCGGCCGGAGCAGGAGCCCAUGGUGCCCGCCUAUACAGGAGGCCCCCGGGUGCCCCGCGCUCGGCUCCCGCCCCCUCUCAGCCCGCUCCCCACGCGCCGCAGCCUCGACCCCGCCCCCUCUGCAUCCCGUUCCCCCCUCCCCGCAACCCCCGGCCCAGCCCCACCCCCGGGUAACAGCUGCGCUGCGUCUCCCCUCCCACCCCCGCCUGCGGCCCCUGGGGGCUUCGCGCCGGCCGGAGAGGGGGACCCUUCUUAAAGGGGCGAUGGCGCGGCUUCUCGGGUAGCGAGGGGCGGCGCCGCGGCCCCAGGACAGACCCGCAGCUGAGGGGAGCCCGCCCCGGACGCGGUAGGGAUGACCGGCGUCCGCCCCCUCCUGCAGAAUGACCUGCCCAGCACCGGCUCCCGCCGUGCGCCCUCCGGCGUGAGAUCCCCAUCAACCUUCCCCGUGGGGGGUCUGAGCGACCCGCAUCCGCGAGGCGUUUUCUCUGAGAGUCUCAGAGAUUCCUUGGCUUGGAGAAGUCCUGGACCCGGGUCCCCUCCACGGGCGGGCGGGCCGAGGACUCAGGAGGAGGGAGUGAGCCGGGCUCGCCCAUCUCCCACAGGGAGCUUCUCUGCUGGAAGGCUGAGACCUGAAGGCCAGGUCUGCUCCAACUGCCUGGACCGGCCUCCUGCCUGCGCGGGAGGGGCCUAGGGAGCCUCGGGUUGGGACAGCCUGAGGCCUUGUGCACGGUGGAGGCAGGACCCAGCUGUCCAGGGCAGGUCCUGGGGUCUGGAUGGGGCUGAACCCCGUAAAGCCUGCGCUUCCGGAAGAAGCUUGUGCUGGAGGCAGGGAAGGGUCCCAGCCAGGCCCGAGAGGAGCAGGACGUGGACACAGCGAGCCAGAGUGUCAGCCGGUCGGAAAGCCCAUGGGGGCAGAACAGCGGGAGAUCAGGGCAGGUGGCCGGGCCAGGGCUGCCACUUGGUCUUUACUCAGUGGCAGGGCAGGCUCCCUGACUGCCACCUACCGCCUGAGGAGCCUGAGAUGGGUUUCCCAUGGCAACCUGAAUUCCUGCCCCACUCGAGAUUUUAUGAAUUACUGAGGAUUCUUGCCUUCCUAAUUUUGGUUGUGUGUCCCACAGUCCCGGGGAUCAGGAGGGGUUAACAGAAGACCAAGGGUCAGGUUUUCUGCACUGCGGGGAGCCACCCCAGAUCUGUAGUCCAGGCUCAUGCGCGGGUGAGGGGGUAGCUUCCAAGCCCCAAAGGUCGGAGAGCAAAGGUGUGGCCAGUUGUGGAGGGAGGGGGAGCCUCAGGUUGUUUGCAGUGCUGGGGAGAUAAGAAUAUUCAGGAAUCAGAUGGUGGUGAUGGUUGCACAGCUCUGUGAAUAUACUGCAGCCCACUGAGCACUACACUGUAAAGGGGUGACUAUUAUGGUGUGAGGAUUAUAUCCCAAUUUUUAAAAGAUGUGAAAAAAUUAAUGUUUAUUUAUACGAUAUAUAAGACAUUGAUUUUUAAAUACAGCGGUACCAUCCCCGUCCCCCAUAACCCUGGUUCCUCCAGGCACUUGGAGCCAUUUGUGGAAGGACGUGGACUCCUAGAAGGUGAUUCGCAAAGGUGCCACGUAAGCAGAGGAGCCAGGUAAGCAGAGGCCCAGUGCCACGUAAGCAGAGGAAGGCCCGGAGCCGGCUGCUGAGGUCCUGAGGGAGAGGGAGGGGCACCUGCUCAGCCUUGCCUGUGUGUGUGGAUCCUUCUCUCUCAGGGGAAGCUGCCUGGACAUGCAUGCGCCUUGCAGUUCUGUCCUGCCAGGCUGCCUGCUCUUCCUCUUGAAAGCAAAAGCCUUCACUUGCUGAGGAUGCAACGAUGCCCUAGUGUCCCUUGCAGGAGCCAGUGUCAGAGCCAGGAGCUGUCGUGGGCAUCCCCUGCUCCAAAGUUACGAGUUCUGGUGAAGGGGUCAGGACAGCCCCUUUGAGAGUUCAGCAGAGCAGGUCUGCACCGGACCCACGCCACGCACAGCCCACACUCCACCUGCCCUGGUGCACACUGGCGGCAGCAGCCAGCCGCGGGGACCCCAGGCGCAGUGUUGCCGCGUGAACGUUAGAGCAGCCUCCAGAGGCGGGUUCGGUCUGCACACCUGGUUCGCGGGUGACGCGGUUGUGACUUGGCCCAGGUCAGUUGUUGGGGCCUGGCCAGCUGUGGGUGGUGAGGUUUUCUCGGACGCUUCAUCUGUUCUCGUUCUUGUUCGAAUUCCUUCUGCCUAAGAAUGACAGCUUUAAAAGCGAAAUGGCAGCACGUCUCCGUCAUUACACAGAAUCCCACGUGGGAAGACCCUAGUCGGAGGCCCCCACCCUUGCCCGGAGCUGGACUUUGGGGCAGCAGCAAACUGCAGUGAGUGUGAGUCACACCUGAGGACAGGUGGGCUGUCUUCAGGCUCCCAACAGGUCUGUCGCUUAAGGGGCUGGGGAAUGGGGGCUGGAAUGCCACGGCCUGCCCACCUGGGGGACUCUGGGCAGAGCUGGAGCAGCCAGGCAGGAAAAUAUCCCCCAGUUUCCAGAGAGUAAAAGCUGAUGGUCCUACUGAGGUGUGAAGGACAGUGACGGACAGUGAUGGAAGGUGAUGGACAGAGGAGGACAGUGAUGGACAGAGGAGGACAGUGAUGGACAGAGGAGGGCAGUGAUGGACAGUGACGGGCAGUGAUAGACAGCAACAGAGAGUGGAGGACAGUGAUGAACAGCAACAGACAGUGGAGGGCAGUGAUGGACAGUGGAGGACAUUGGAGGAUAGCAGAGGACAGUGAGGGACAGCAGAGGACAGUGAUGGACAGCGGAGGACAGUGAUGGACAGCAGAGGACAGUGAUGGACUGCGGAGGACAGCGAUGGACAGCGGAGGACGGCGAUGGACAGCGGAGGACGGCGAUGGAGAGCGGAGGACGGCGAUGGAGAGCGGAGGACGGCGAUGGAGAGCGGAGGACGGCGAUGGAGAGCGGAGGACGGCGAUGGACAGCGGAGGACGGUGAUGGACAGUGGAGGACGGUGAUGGACAGAGGAGGACGGUGAUGGACAGCGGAGGACGGUGAUGGACAGCGGAGGAUGGUGAAGGACAGAGAAGGACAGCAAUGGAAGGACAGGCACCCCAGUCAGCACAAACACAGGCCGAGUGGGGCCCAUGCAUUUCUGGGAGGACUGGCAAGCUGGGAAAGGCCUCCAGGGCAGGGAAACUCAGGAGAGUGACAGCUUGUUCAGGCCAGGACCUUGUGCAUCUUCUCCUUUUUUCUUUCUUAGUAAACCCAGUGUAUUCAUUUCUAGUGGCUGCCAUAACAAAUUCCCAUAAACUAGCGUCUUGAAGCCAUGGAAGUUUGUUAUGUCCCAGUUCUGGAGGCUAGACAUCUAACAUCCAGGUAUGGGCAGGGUUGCCCUGCCUUCGAAGCUCUGGGGAGGGUCCUUCCUGCCCCUCCCAGCUCCCGUGGCUCCCAGCGUCCUUAGCCUGUGGCCGUUAUUGCUCUGGUCUUUGCCUCCACCUUUGCAUGACCUCCUCCUCUCCUGUGUGUCACUUGCUAUGAUGCUUGUGAUGCCAUUUAGGGCCCACCUGUGUAAUCCAGCAUGCUCUCAUGUCAAGAUCCUUAAUCACAUCUGCAAAGAACCUUGCCCCAAACUCCUGGCUUCAAGCAAUUCUCCUGCCUUGGCCUCCCAACGUGCUGGGUUUGCAGGUGUGAGCCACUGUGCCAGGCCUAGAUUUGGGGGCCACCAUUCAGUCGCUGCUCUCCCACCCCUGCAGCAGCCCCAGCCCGCCCGCAGGGCAGACCUUCCUUGUGGCAGAAACAACAGGAAGAGGAAAGGAAGAGGAACCCAGGCCUGGGUUCCCUGCAGAGCUGUCCGCAGAGCCUGUGCGGGGCUGCAAAGGCCCCUCUGUUGUCACACCACCCCUGUCCCCGUUUCAGAUGAAACCGGGAGAACUUUCAACUGCAACAAACACUCCUGGAAAAGGAGAGGCCAAUCCCCAUGGCUCCACAGAGAGCACAGCCAGACCCCUUCAUCCAGGCCCACAGGCAAUGUUGUCGGCUCUGUUCUUCCUUUGAAAGAAAAGGGUGCUGGUUGGUUUCCAGUUUACUGCAGACACACAGAGAGGCCCCUCUCUGGCUCAGAGCCUGGCCCGGAUCUCUCCAGUCCCAGCUUCUCCCUCCCGAAAGGAACCUCCUGCCCAACAAUGCAACACGUGUGUGCACUCCCAGUGUGGGAAUCAGGCUGAGCUGGACUUCAGGGGCAGCCCAGGAUGCUUGCCUCGGGUGGGGCGUUUUCCCAGCGGUUUCUUGGGAGCUGCCUGGGAGUUGCCGAAGCUUCUUCCCAGCUGGCUUCAGCCCAGGCUUCCUGGGUGAGAUUCUUGUUCCCUGGCCCCUCACGGUACGCGUGGUCCUGUUCCCCGCAAUCCCCCACCCCCUUGAACUCCGUUCCCACACUCAGGACCCACCCAGAUGCCAGCUCCCCGCAGAGCAGUGCAGCCCCCCACUUCCAGCCCUGACAGCUCACACCCUGCCCCCCACCACCAUUUUGGAAUUGUUCUUUGCCAGAAAUACCGUUUCCCACCCUGUCUUCUUAUUCUCGGAGGCAGAGGCACUUCAGCUUCCUGGGCCGUCUGUCACUGAAUCACCCUGGUUUCCAUUGGCAGUGCCGCCUCUCCCUCACUCGGAUGCUUCUGUGCAGCCACGCAGGCUGUGUGUGCACAACCUCAGGGGACGCAUCAACCACAUCCUCGGGCUGGCCGUAGAGACAUGGCCUCGGCCUGAGUGUGGCCAUCAGACUCUCCCUGGUACUAUAAGCCCUUGGCUGAGGGGGCAGAGGGGCAGCUAGGAUCAUGGCUGCAGCUCCCGGAGGGGAGCCCCCAUCCUCCGGGCCGUCUUCCCGAGCCUGCUCCCCAGGCCGCGCCUUUCCUGACUUCCCUCCAGGCUCCUGUUGCUGGCGACCACAGAACCAGCCUCAGGGCUUUCCUGUCCUUCCUGUCAGGGGUCCUUUCCCAGUGGGAGCUCUGGGCGGGUGGGCCUGUCCCAGGAGAGUCAUGUAGCUUGUUUAAGGAGAAGAUCCCCGUGGCUCUUGUGUGCACAUGUGGGGCCUCUCUCCCCAGGGGCUGCUGUGAGCCUGGGAAGUCCCGGGUGGUGUCUCAUGCCCCAGAGAGCAGCCCCCUGUGCACCUUGCACACGCCCUCCUGCGGGUCUGCUGACUUUCUCCUCCGCCUCAGCCAAGUCUCCCACGCGGAGCAGGUGGGAACUGAAUGAAGGCCUCACAGGAUUCUGAGUCCCCGAUCUGACACCCACCUGGCUCAGCACCUGCCUCCUCAGCUUCCAGCUGCACGGGUGGCCACAGGCGUCAGGGUGUGACGGCAAAUGUGACGGUGAAUGUGGCCGGUCCGGUCAGAGGUCUCUGCAUCCUCCACACCUCUGGCCAGGUGAGACCCAGCCUGUGUCCCUCCCAGCUCUACUGACGGACGGCAGGAAGCUGAGACCCCGAGCCCGUGUGUCCUCGGUUCUUGGUGCUUUGCAAUGCCCCUGGCCCUGGCUGCAGCCGCCCCCUGGCUGGGCCCCGAGCCUGUCUGCCCUGCAACACUCACCCUUCAUGAAGAGGGAGCCUCAGCCGAGAGGAGAGCAAAUAAGUGUAAGGGGAGAGGGUGCUUCCUGAGACACGCGGUGGGCCCAGGGCUCCUGCCUUGGCCAUUCCGUCCAUCUGUGGGAGGGCCUUGGCCUCUCUGCUUUUGGAGCAGGGCGCUGGGGCUAGGGGAUUGCAGCCACAGCCACUCCACUGCACUGGUUGGGAGCUCGGAUCACCUCGGUGCAGAGGAAGCUUUGACGGCAAGGGUUGGUGUGGCUCAUCUGGCCCACCCCACAGCCAUCGCCGCCCCGCAGACACCUCCGGAUCCCGGCCUGCCAUCCCUCCUCCCGAGCCUACAUUAGGCUCCAUCCUUCCCCAGGCCCCAUGCCACCAGCAAGAACAGCCCAGCCAAUGCAGACUGCACCCCUCGGCCUCGGCCGGGACCGAGCACACUGCCCUGUGCUUGUCCAGUGUGCUCUCCCUGGCCCCUGAGGCAGGUGGCCUGACCCCUGUCUUCAGAGGGGAAAGCUGAGUCUCGGGAAGGCCACACAGCCGAGGAGUGGGGGCAGAAAGAACCCAGCUCUGCGCCAGGCUGUGUCAAGCCGACAUUUAGUGCCUAGCAGCAGCCACGGCCUCUGCAGGGCUUCCUGGAGCAGGUGUGGGCUCUUCCAGCACAGAGCAUGGGCUGCACCAGCUUCGGGGUGCACCGCGUACAGGUUAGGGCCGUGGCUGUGGCUGCUGGCUGACACCAGGAGUAAACGUGGACACCAGACCAGCGCAGCCUAGACCCAGCUGGGUGGCAGGUGCUGCCAGUGCCUCUCGAGGGGGCAGCAGGGUCAGCUGCAGAUGAGGCUGCCCCAGGACUGGCUGCCAGCCCUCAAAGAGCCCCCUGGGUCCCCCCGGCACAACUCUCUGCAUGAAGCCCCCAGCAGGAGAAGGGCUCACUGCCCUGAGCCCGACACAGUACGAGACGGAGGCCUCACUGAGUCCAGGCCCCGCACUGGCCCUCCCCUGGAUCCUGAGUCCAGGCCCCAAGCCAGCCCCUCCCCUGGAUCUCCCCAGACCCUCUCUGUGGGAGCCCAGGGGCUGGAGCCGCUCGACCACAUCUUGGUAGCUCUCAUUUGGGACCUCAUCUUUAAUCUCAGCAACUCAGGGAUCAAAGAGAAAAGGCCGAGGCAGGCGAGGCCGGGGUUUCUUGCUCAAGCAUUCGGAUCAUUGAACAAACGAAAAAAAUCAGAGAA
rnacentral:antisense_RNA from 1 species